UGCCCAAUUGUCGUCGACUUUCAGAAGCACCAUACUUUCCCUCUGAAACCGAUCAAUGAAAUCUCGGAGUGACUCUGUCCUUCUUUAUACGAUUUUGAAGAUAUAUUCCACCUUUUGUGCUCUGGACUAGGCUUUGAUAAAAGCAUCUGCAAGUUCAACAAAAGAAUUGAUAAAAUGUUCAAGUAAAUGUUUGUAUCAUGUUAAAGUCCCUUUGGCCAAAGUCUCCCCAAAUCUUUUGAUAAGCAUCAAUCUGAUCUCCUUCUUUAUGAGGGAGUUCCCUUUGAUCCUGGUCAUCCCUGGUACCGUCUUAUUUCAAAAUUUCUAGCAUUUUUAAUUUCUUCAAAAUCGACAACGAAGUCGCACUAGGCUUCCAUGGUUAUUGGGAAUAUUUAUCCACGUCAAUCCCUUUUACGACAGACAGGACUCCUAGGAUCUGCUCAAUCCUCUCCUUUUGUUCCUUAAGCUAUUGCUGAAAGCAAUUUGGAAUUAGGGGUUUGUUCUCGGUGGCGGAGUAGGUGUUACAAUAGUUGCUCCGCUCGUUAAGGCCAACAAUGCUUCUUUGCAUUUGGCGUUCGGCUUAUGUUCCUUCAUCAUAAAAAAUUUCACCAUCUCCUCCAAACCACAAUCAUUAGGGCGGCUGCUAGUGGAUCAUAUCUGGGUCAUUGAUAAGUUGGUAUCAAGUGAUUAAGAGAAGAUACAAAAGAAAACAAGUCAAAAUGUGUUAAAAAGGGAAAAAUUAACUGCUGCCAGUGAAUGCUUUUCGUGAUCGCGGAGAAUUCCAUGCGGUCGCGUAAUUUUAGCAGUUAAGCCAUCGCAAAUGCAGUAGAAGUCAUGCGACCGCGAAGAAGUAAAGCUGGACAACCACUUGUCAAACUUUCUACGCGAACGCGUAUCUUGCUCGGCGAUUGUGUAGCUUUGCAGAAGUUGGUCACCACAAUUGCGGUUCUUGUUUCGCGAUCACAUAGCACAUUAAAUGGACAGAUUCCAGGCAGAAAUGAAAUUUCACGUUUUUGAUCCCCAAGCUAUUCAAUACAUGACCUAGCUUAUUAGAAAUACAUCUUUGGCUUAUUUUUCAGUAUCUUCACUAAGAGAAACAAUCUUGGGAGCUAGGGUCUAACACACACACUUGGGACUUGAAGAUUUGAAGCUCUUGGCUGAGAAUUUCUUAUCCAUUUAUGUUCAUUUCUUUAUAUCCAUGCUUUGUAUUGAAUAUUUAAG